rnacentral:rRNA from 1 species
AUUGAACGCUGGCGGCAUGCCUUACACAUGCAAGUCGAACGGUAGCACGGGAGCAAUCCUGGUGGCGAGUGGCGAACGGGUGAGUAAUAUAUCGGAACGUGCCCAGUCGUGGGGGAUAACGCAGCGAAAGCUGUGCUAAUACCGCAUACGAUCUACGGAUGAAAGCGGGGGAUCGCAAGACCUCGCGCGAUUGGAGCGGCCGAUAUCAGAUUAGCUAGUUGGUGGGGUAAAAGCCCACCAAGGCGACGAUCUGUAGCUGGUCUGAGAGGACGACCAGCCACACUGGAACUGAGACACGGUCCAGACUCCUACGGGAGGCAGCAGUGGGGAAUUUUGGACAAUGGGCGCAAGCCUGAUCCAGCAAUGCCGCGUGCAGGAUGAAGGCCUUCGGGUUGUAAACUGCUUUUGUACGGAACGAAACGGCUCUUUCUAAUAAAGAGGGCUAAUGACGGUACCGUAAGAAUAAGCACCGGCUAACUACGUGCCAGCAGCCGCUGUAA